UGCAGUUGAGCCAAUGAAAAAGACACAGGGGAUCUUGAAACUGAAAGAUCAUAUGGUAGAAUAGCAUAAAGCGUAGCAGUAAUGCUACUGCGGAGGACGGAAGAAGUAAGAAGCACGCGAUCCAGAAAAGGACUACGACAGGAAAGACGUUUGAGGCGUUUGAGCUUUGCGCAUUUCUAUUUGUUGAUAAUUUCAUCAAAAGGGCUAACGAAAACAUGUGAAAUUUUCUAAGUUACACGCUGCUCAAUAAAAUUAUAGCGACAAUAAGAUAACUCUGGUAUUACUUAUAAUUCACUUGAUCAAUAAAAUCCAUACUUCCUUUUCUCCACAUCACUUGAGGGACCACAAUGAGCAGCAGCAGUACAGACCGAAUGGGGCUGGAGCUGCAAGCGGCGCCGCCGCAGCUCCGAGAGAUUCUACUCGAGUUCACACUCAACGUGCUGCUCCACCAGCCACCUGAUCUACUGGACUUCGCCCUCGAGUACUUCAACAAGCUGAAGGAGAAGCGCGACCAUGAGCGGGCGGUGAAUGGCACGGGAAGAUAGCACCACAAAUGCACCGUCAAGAACGAGGGAUCAAGUGUCCUCUAAGAAUGAGUGCCCGAAGUCAUGCUCUAUUCUGAUGUGUCCGAUAUCAUUUUUUUCUUAACAGAUACUUGGCAAACAUUUUUUCCAGCCAGCUGCAGGUCCUCUUGUGAAUUAGUUCGAAUUUUCGUCUGUUUGCGUGGAAACUGACGGGAAAUUUGCAUCCGCUUCCCUGUUCUUCUGUCCAUGCUGAUUUGAAAUAAAACUUAGUGUUGUCAAA